rnacentral:rRNA from 1 species
UGACCAGCGGAGGGAUCACUACAGAGCGUUCUCUACCCUCUGAAAACCAUGUGAACAAGCCGCCGUAGCCUCGGCGGGGGCUGCCGGGCCUCCCCGGCGCGCCCGCCGCAGGCCCUCAACACACCGUCAUCCGCAGGUACUCUGAGCGAGCUCGAGGGAAAUCAAAACUUUCAGCAACGGAUCUCUUGGUUCUGGCAUCGAUGAAGAACGCAGCGAAAUGCGAUACGUAAUGCGAAUUGCAGAGCUCCAGUGAGUCAUCGAAUCUUUGAACGCACAUUGCGCCCGCCGGCACUCCGGCGGGCAUGCCUGUUCGAGCGUCAUCUCGAAACCCCUCAGGCUCUGCCUGGUGUUGGGGGUCCACGCCCGUGGUCCCCGGAAAGCAGUGGCGGGCUCGACGCGAACCCGGGCGCAGUAAAGCACCUCGCCCACGGUUCCGCGCCGGGCGCCGGCCGUUAAACCCACAACGUUAGGUUGACCUCGGAUCAGGCAGGAAUACCCGCUGAACUUAAGCAUAUC